rnacentral:lncRNA from 1 species
GGAAUGUGAGCUAUGGAGCAGAAUUUGUGCCUAGUGCUGAAGAUGGAUACACUGUGAUAAUCCAGAAGAACAGGAAAAUUGCUGCAGCUGAUGAAACAGUAAUUAGCAACACCUUCAAAGUUGGUGAACCUGGAAAAGUUGUACUCACCAUUGAUAACCAAACAUCCAAGAAAAAGAAGCUGCUUUACAGGUCCAAGACCAUACCCAUCUCUGAGUAAAAGGAAAAAUGUUUAAAUUCAUUAUAUGGUCAAUAACAUUAUUGUGAAGGUUAU